UGGGGAAUUUUGGACAAUGGGCGCAAGCCUGAUCCAGCCAUGCCGCGUGCGGGAAGAAGGCCUUCGGGUUGUAAACCGCUUUUGUCAGGGAAGAAAUCUUCUGAGUUAAUACCUCGGGAGGAUGACGGUACCUGAAGAAUAAGCACCGGCUAACUACGUGCCAGCAGCCGCGGUAAUACGUAGGGUGCAAGCGUUAAUCGGAAUUACUGGGCGUAAAGCGUGCGCAGGCGGUUUUGUAAGACAGAGGUGAAAUCCCCGGGCUCAACCUGGGAACUGCCUUUGUGACUGCAAGGCUUGAGUGCGGCAGAGGGGGAUGGAAUUCCGCGUGUAGCAGUGAAAUGCGUAGAUAUGCGGAGGAACACCGAUGGCGAAGGCAAUCCCCUGGGCCUGCACUGACGCUCAUGCACGAAAGCGUGGGGAGCAAAACAGGAUUAGAUACCCUGGUAGUCCACGCCCUAAACGAUGUCAACUGGUUGUUGGGAAGGUUCCUUCUCAGUAACGUAGCUAACGCGUGAAGUUGACCGCCUGGGGAGUACGGCCGCAAGGUUGAAACUCAAAGGAAUUGACGGGGUCAUAGC
rnacentral:rRNA from 1 species